UGGGAGGGAUCAUUACCGAGUUAUACAACUCAUCAACCCUGUGAACAUACCUAUAACGUUGCCUCGGCGGGAACAGACGGCCCCGUAACACGGGCCGCCCCCGCCAGAGGACCCCCUAACUCUGUUUCUAUAAUGUUUCUUCUGAGUAAACAAGCAAAUAAAUUAAAACUUUCAACAACGGAUCUCUUGGCUCUGGCAUCGAUGAAGAACGCAGCGAAAUGCGAUAAGUAAUGUGAAUUGCAGAAUUCAGUGAAUCAUCGAAUCUUUGAACGCACAUUGCGCCCGCCAGUAUUCUGGCGGGCAUGCCUGUUCGAGCGUCAUUACAACCCUCAGGCCCCCGGGCCUGGCGUUGGGGAUCGGCGGAAGCCCCCUGCGGGCACAACGCCGUCCCCCAAAUACAGUGGCGGUCCCGCCGCAGCUUCCAUUGCGUAGUAGCUAACACCUCGCAACUGGAGAGCGGCGCGGCCACGCCGUAAAACACCCAACUUCUGAAUGUUGACCUCGAAUCAGGUAGGAAUACCCGCUGAACUUAAGCAUAC
rnacentral:rRNA from 1 species